AGGCGCCCGGCGCCCGGCGCAAUGAGUGCCAACGAGGACCAAGAGAUGGAACUAGAAGCAUUACGUUCAAUUUAUGAAGGAGAUGAAAGUUUCCGGGAAUUAAGUCCAGUUUCCUUUCAAUAUAGGGUGAAAAUGGUGAUCCCAAGGCCUUCUUAAUAGAGAUUUCCUGGACAGAAACAUAUCCCCAGACCCCUCCGGUUAUAUCCAUGAAUGCUUUUUUUAACAACACCAUAUCAUCCGCUGUAAAACAGAGUAUAUUAGCCAAGUUACAGGAAGCAGUAGAAGUUAAUCUCGGAACCGCCAUGACCUACACGCUCUUCGAAUAUGCCAAGGACAAUAAGGAGCAGUUCAUGGAGAACCAUCAUCCUGUUCAUUCCACUACAUCAAUAAACAAUAUCAUCUCAGUUGAAACUCCUAAUACAGCCCCACCAAGUAAGAAAAAAGACAAAAAAGAACAACUUUCAAAAGCCCAGAAACGUAAACUGGCAGAUAAAACAGAUCACAAAGGGGAACUUCCUCGAGGCUGGAACUGGGUUGAUGUUGUGAAGCAUUUAAGCAAAACUGGCUCUAAAGAUGAUGAGUAGUACUUGGAACUGGAGACAAGGAAAGAGCAUCCUCAAAAGUAAACUGGGUUCAAAAUCUUUCAUGACUAUUUUCUGGUAUUGAGGUGGCUUUUUAUAAAACACGAUUUUUUGUAUGUUUCUUACAUUUAAAAUGUAGGUUGAAAGUUCAUGAAGAGAUCUGGUUGUAUUGAAUUAUUUUCACAAACUUGCCUUAAUAAAAGGUGAAAAUGUUACUGUUUAGUACACCUUAUGAAGCCUGUUGAGCUUUGUAAAUGGACAGAUAUAGGGAAUAAUAAUCAGUGUUAAUUUACAUGAUCUUAUUCUAGUAAAUGGGAUAUUUUUUUUAAAGUGUAGAGCCCUUUUUAAACUGUCAUCCCAAAGGAGCAGAGAGAGUAUUGACCGACCCAUAUUAACAGACUUCUCAUC